UUGCCAAAGUUAUUCAGCCUCUCAAAUUGCUCCACUGUCCAUUUGUUCCAUCUCAUGAGAAACACUCUCAGUGUUAGGCCAUGUGAAAACCAAUUGAAAAUUUAGAAGCGACCGUAAAGCAUUCGAAUGGCUUUCUCUACUCUCAUCUUCUCCCUGUCCUGAAAAUUCCCUUUUUAUGGAAAAAAUUGGAACAAAGUCUUGUUAAAAGUAGUGUUCCAAUUGUUUUUAGUAAAUUGACACUUACCGAAGUCUUGCUCUCUUAGCCGAGGCUCUUCUGUCUAGGAGGGGGUGCUUUAGUACUAGUAGCUGACUUCCUAUGCAAGUGCUUUUCAGGAAAACUAGCCAACCUCACUUUGUAUUUUGGACAGCUGUUCCUAAUUGAUUCUCAUAUAUUUUGGCAUUUGAAAAUCCUCAUUUCUGUUGUUGUGAUAUCUCACACAACCUUGCAAUUAUGGUAAUUUUCUUAUUCAAUUCUUAUUUUGAUCAUCUUGUAUCCUAAAAUUUGUGUUGAUUAAACUGCUUUUAUGUGCAGUAUGGGGACAUGCUGGAAAACUGGGCAGCCUUUAAUUAAAUGGAAAUUAUGAACUUGUAUUUUGGAUAGCCUUUCAUUUCUUAGUUUUAUCAUCUUGUAUUCAUUUCUUAUGAACUUUAGAAUGUUUGUUUUGAUGGAAAUUGUGAACUUAUAUGCAUGCUGGAAACUGGACAGCUUUUGAUUAAAUGAAAAUUAUAAACUUGUAUUUUGGGCAGCCUUUCUUUUCUUAGUUUUAUCAUCUUGUAUUAAUUUCUUAUGAACUUUACUACUUUAGAAUGUUUGUUUUGAUGGAAAUUGUGAACUUAGA
rnacentral:lncRNA from 1 species